GCAAGUCGAGCGCGCCCUUCGGGGUGAGCGGCGGACGGGUGAGUAACGCGUGGGAACGUGCCCUUUGCUGCGGAAUAGCCACUGGAAACGGUGAGUAAUACCGCAUGAGCCCUUCGGGGGAAAGAUUUAUCGGCAAGGGAUCGGCCCGCGUUGGAUUAGGUAGUUGGUGGGGUAAUGGCCUACCAAGCCGACGAUCCAUAGCUGGUUUCAGAGGAUGAUCAGCCACACUGGGACUGAGACACGGCCCAGACUCCUACGGGAGGCAGCAGUGGGGAAUCUUAGACAAUGGGCGCAAGCCUGAUCUAGCCAUGCCGCGUGAGUGACGAAGGCCCUAGGGUCGUAAAGCUCUUUCGCCUGUGAAGGUAAUGACGGUAGCAGGUAAAGAAACCCCGGCUAACUCCGCGCCAGCAGCCGCGGUAAUACGGAGGGGGUUAGCGUUGUUCGGAAUUACUGGGCGUAAAGCGCGCGUAGGCGGACCAUCAAGUUGGGGGUGAAAUCCCGGGGCUCAACCCCGGAACUGCCUCCAAAACUGGCGGUCUGGAGUUCGAGAGAGGUGAGUGGAAUUCCGAGUGUAGAGGUGAAAUUCGUAGAUAUUCGGAGGAACACCAGUGGCGAAGGCGGCUCACUGGCUCGAGACUGACGCUGAGGUGCGAAAGUGUGGGGAGCAAACAGGAUUAGAUACCCUGGUAGUCCACACCGUAAACGAUGAAUGCCAGUCGUCGGCAAGCAUGCUUGUCGGUGACACACCUAACGGAUUAAGCAUUCCGCCUGGGGAGUACGGCCGCAAGGUUACAACUCAAAGGAAUUGACGGAA
rnacentral:rRNA from 1 species